rnacentral:rRNA from 1 species
CCUACGGGCGGCAGCAGUGGGGAAUAUUGCACAAUGGGGGAAACCCUGAUGCAGCGACGCCGCGUGAGCGAUGAAGUAUUUCGGUAUGUAAAGCUCUAUCAGCAGGGAAGAAGAUGACGGUACCUGACUAAGAAGCCCCGGCUAAGUACGUGCCAGCAGCCGCGGUAAUACGCAGGGGGCAAGCGUUAUCCGGAUUUACUGGGCUUAAAGGGAGCGUAGACGGCGAUGCAAGCCAGAUGUGAAAGCCCGGGGCUCAACCCCGGGACUGCAUUUGGAACUGUGUGGCUGGAGUGUCGGAGAGGCAGGCGGAAUUCCUGGUGUAGCGGUGAAAUGCGUAGAUAUUAGGAGGAACACCAGUGGCGAAGGCAGCCUGCUGGACGGUGACUGACGUUGAGGCUCGAAAGCGUGGGGAGCAAACAGGAUUAGAUACCCGAGUAGUC